rnacentral:rRNA from 1 species
AACGAACGCUGGCGGCAUGCCUAACACAUGCAAGUCGAACGAGACCUUCGGGUCUAGUGGCGCACGGGUGCGUAACGCGUGGGAACCUGCCCUUAGGUUCGGAAUAACUCCCCGAAAGGGGUGCUAAUACCGGAUAAUGUCUUCGGACCAAAGAUUUAUCGCCUUUGGAUGGGCCCGCGUUGGAUUAGCUAGUUGGUAGGGUAAAAGCCUACCAAGGCGACGAUCCAUAGCUGGUCUGAGAGGAUGAUCAGCCACACUGGGACUGGGACACGGCCCAGAAUCCUACGGGAGGCUGCAGUGGGGAAUAUUGGACAAUGGGCGAAAGCCUGAUCCAGCAAUGCCGCGUGAGUGAUGAAGGCCUUAGGGUUGUAAAGCUCUUUUACCCGGGAUGAUAAUGACAGUACCGGGAGAAUAAGCCCCGGCUAACUACGUG